CUGCAUUUUUUGGUCUUCUUCAGUUUUCACUCCACCAAUUAGGCAAAUACACACACACAAACACACCCCGAGGGUUUUGCAUUCUGUAAAUUCUACCAAUUAUGGUGAAUUCGCAGCAAGCAUCGGGUCGGCCAUGGAUUCUGGAAAUCGUACCUUUGGCGGUCGUUAUUCUUAUUGUUGCCCACGUCCUUGCUUUGGUUUACUGGAUUUACAAGCUAGCAACCGAGAAGCAGCCUUCGAGAAGGAAAACGCACUAACCUAGUUCAUCAGUUUUUAGUAAUAAAAGACUCACUGUUUGAAGGAGGAAACGCGUCUGAGUCCGUGAUUGGUGUUGGAAGUGGGGUCGUCUCGUGGAGCUUCAAAAACAAGGAAACAAACAAAUUUUAUUGUAAGAAAUGCAUGUGAUGAAGUCAAAGUCUACGAAAUUGGCACGACUGACGAUCUUAAAAGAAGCUUCUGAAAUCACAUCUCCAAUGCAAGACGAUGGGGAGGAAAAUAGCUGCAAACAAACAUGUUGGUGUAGGCGCCCUCCAUUAAGUUAAAAUGGGUUCAUUUUUAAUACACUCGUUGACUCUCUCUCUCUCUCUCUCUCACACACACAUACACACACACUAAUUGAUUGUCGCAUAUAUUAAAUUCUACAAGAAAA